rnacentral:rRNA from 1 species
ACGCUCGACACCUAAGGCAGCAGUGGGGAAUAUUGCACAAUGGGGGAAACCCUGAUGCAGCGACGCCGCGUGAGCGAAGAAGUAUUUCGGUAUGUAAAGCUCUAUCAGCAGGGAAGAAACUGACGGUACCUGACUAAGAAGCACCGGCUAAAUACGUGCCAGCAGCCGCGGUAAUCUGAGCGGGCUGGCAAGGC